CCUCAUGUAACAGAACGUCCAGUCUGCAGUCAGUCCAUCCAUCCAGGAUUAGUGCAGCUGCUCAACAAUGUCAUUCAGGACCUGGCUCCUCCUAUUUUGGAAGAUCCACAGAUCCUGGCAGGCUGUCAGCCCUAAAGCCAAUGCUUUUUCUUUUAAAUAGUAAGAAUGAUCAAACAUGAAAACAUUUAUAUUUCAUUUCUCAUAGAUUUACCUUUUAUUACACUUGUUAACAUAGUAAAGAGAGGGAAGCAACACUAGGGCUGAUUCACCUUGUCUGUAUGAAACAUUUCUUCAAUUUCUGUCUGGAAGUUGGGUGCUUCUACAAUAUCCCUGAACUAUUUGAAAAAUGAACUAAAUAUAGGUAAGAAAAAAGAGUCUAGGCUGGGCGCGGUGGCUCAUGCCUGUAAUCCCAGCACUUUGGGAGGCCGAGGUGUGAGCCAUGGUGCCCAGCCUAGACUGUAAUUCUUAAUGUUUGUAAAAAUCACCCUCACGCUCCUCUUGGCUACUACUGAACAUAUUUUGAAAUUUAAGAUAUUUCUGAAUGGCAGCUGUGAAGGAGAAUUAAUAUUUCUCCCAAACCAAAGAAUAGCCAAGAAAACGGUGGGCACCUCCUGCCAAGUUAGCAUCUGGGGUUGAAAGAAUGAUGCUCUAACACCUAAUAGUUGACUCUUUGGGGAUGGAAGAGCACAGGAAUUAUAAAAAUACCCAGUGGUAAAAAUACUUCAUGACGUUUUGCUUAUUACAUUAAUUGAAUAUAAUCUAAGUCUAGCAACUAACAUAAUGAGCUAAUUAAGAGUUAUUUUUCCUACCACGUUUUUUUUUUGUUUUUUUUUUUUUGAGAUGGAGUCUCACUCUGUCAUCCAGGCUGGAGUACAGUAGAGCGAUCUCAGCUCACUGCAACCUCUGCCUCCCAGGUUCAAGCAAAUCUCACUUCAGCCUCCUGAGUAAUUGGGAUUACAGGCAUG
rnacentral:lncRNA from 10 species